ACAGACAUACCACCCUGAAUACUCCUUAUCUUGUCUGAUCUUGGAAGCUAAGCAGGGUUGGGCCUGUUACUACUUGGAUGGGACAAACUCUAUU
rnacentral:rRNA from 1 species